GCUGUGCGUCAAGAACAACAGGAUGAGGAAGACUGAUGGUGCAGAGACGACGUCUUCUCUGUUCGACGUACCUCAGGUCUGGUAGCGAUGGAACCCGAGAUCCUGGCUCCUUACCACCUGGGUUCCUACUUCCUACCCCUGGCCACUUGACUCCUACCCCUAGGACCGGGUUUGGAACGAGGCCUGAAGUUUCAACCAGUUGCACUUAUCUGACUGGCUGAGAGAAACGAAGCCAUAAAUCAUGAUAGGAGUCCUCAGCAUGUGGUAUAGCAGGAUAUUCUUUAGGAAAGAAAAAAACUGUCCCAAAUGGCACCCUAAUCCGUAUAUAGUACACUACUUUUAACUACGGCCAAUAGAGCUCUGGUUCAAACUAGUGCACUGUGGAUUAUUGUGUCCCAAAUAUUUUUUUCACUGCUUUUUUUGUUGUUGCUCGCACUGUUUUUCAUUUCUGAUUGAUUGAUAAAUCCCCUGUAUCGUGAUGGAUUAGGUAGUUACCACUCUGCAUGUUGUGGCGCUACUGACAGCUGUUCAGUACAGAAAGAGAACUCACACCCAGGCUCUACUCGCCUAACCCACCAGGCUCUGAAAUGGCAGCUUGAUCUCUGUUCCACUACUCUUAAGCAGGGUCAAUAGCGCUCUGGUCAAAACUAGUGCUCUAUAUAGGGGAAUGGGGCCAUUUGGUUCACAGCCUGAUCUCUGUUCCACUACUCUUAACCAGGGUCAAUAGCGCUCUGGUCAAAACUAGUGCUCUAUAUAGGGGAAUGGGGGCCAUUUGGUUCACAGCCAGGGUCUGUGUUCCAUGAGGAUCAACGUUAUAGAAUAUUCAUCUAGAAAUACACUAUCUAGAUUUGAUGCGCUUCUUUGUUCUGUAGAAGAGGGAAUCGUGUCAUGGUGUGGUGUGUAUUUUCUACGUUGUAUCAUCUCGAACACCAGGCCAGGCUCGUUGUUCCACGACCUCCUAGUUACUGUCACCGAGUCUGAAAUCUUUCCCCCUCACUGUCUGUUACCGGUGCCAAACCGGUUUAGUUUUAACUGUAAAAAAAAUGUUGCCUCCGUGACCCGUUCA